AGAAAAGAGGGGAUCUGAUGAUAAAAAAAGUAGUGUGAAGUCCGGUAGUCGAGAAAAGCAGAGUGAAGACACAAACACUGAAUCGAAGGAAAGUGAUACUAAGAAUGAGGUCAAUGGGACCAGUGAAGACAUUAAAUCUGAAGGUGACACUCAGUCCAAUUAAAACUGAUCUGAUAAGACCUCAGAUCAGACAGAGGACUACUGUUCGAAGAUUUUUGGAAGAAUACUGAGAACGGCAUAAAGUGAAGAUCGACAUUUAAAAAAUGAGGUGAAAGAAAGCUAUAGUGGCAUAGAAAAAGUAUAAAGCUCAGUUAGUUUUUUAAUUAUUAUUAUUAUUAAAAGUUAAUUCAGGACUGAUGUGACCUACCAGAUUUCAGAACAUGUGUUAAUAGUAUAUAUGCCACUGAAAACUUAGGUCCUGUAUCAUACUUUUUUCUUUAAGACUUUUUAAGAAAUAUUACUUAAACAUGUGGCUUGCUCAGUGUUUAAUUGCAAGUUUUCAUUCUUGGACUUUGAAAACAGGAUUAAACGUUAGUAUUCGUGUGAAUCAGACUAAGUGGGAUUUCAUUUUUACAACUCUGCUCUACUUAGCCUUUGGAUUUAGAAGUAAAAAUAAAGUAUAUCUGACUUUCUGUUACAAAGUUGAUUGUCUCUGUCAUUGAAAGGUUUUAGUAUUAAUCUUUUUCUAAUAAAGUUAUUGACUCUGAACUAGUCCCCUGUUUUAAAUACAAGAGUUACACUAUCACUAGAGGUGUUGGUGUACAGUUUUAUCUAAUUUGUUCUGUUUAAGACUAAUUUUUAUAGAGUUUCUAAUGUUUUAAAUAAUGGUGCUUCAAUUUUAGGUGGUUAUGAAUAAAUUUGAAUUUUGCUUUUAAUAGCAAAGAUGUACAGUGAACUAGAAUAUAUUUUUACAUCCCUGAGAAAUUCCUUUAGUAGAAAAUUCCAAGUAUCCUUCUGACAAGCACUCUUUAGCUAGCUAGCUAUGAAAUAAUGAUGUAGAAAAGCUUUCAAGUGCUAGUUUUUGUUAAGUCCUGUAUCAAGAUUUCUUCUCACCCGGUCGUGUCAGUUUAUAAAUGUACUUGUGUAUAGGGUGUGUAGUAUAUAUGGCAAGGGUUCCCCCCCCCCCAAAAUGAUUAUUUUUGUGUCACAUCUAGGAAAACUGGCAGCAUGUUUCUAUCUAUAGCCAGCUUCUUCAACUGUAUAAAAGUAUUCUCUCCAGCUACGUAUAUACACACGCACAUAUAUAUCAUAGCAAUUCCUUGUGGUUUAUAACUUUCAAAUACUGCUAUCAGUUUAUAGGUAAAGAAACUGAGUGUGUUAAAUGAUGUACCCAGGGAGGGUCUUGUGGCUUCAUGUUUAUGGAUUUGCUAGGUCUCUGUCUCAUGGUCCACUGCCUAACUGUUAAGACAGUGUGUUGAUUCUAAUAGGCAUGAUGAAUUGUUAAAAGAAUUUACUAAAAUGUCUUCCACCAAACUUUGAAAAAUAAUGAAGCCCCCACUUUAGAGGCUCUGUUGGAAACAAUGCUGUGGAGACAGAGCCCUCCUGGCUCCCUAGCUGAUCCUGGAGAUGCAGCAGUAGAUGAGUGGGUUAUCUCUGAAUUUGUAAGAGAUGAUUCCCAUGAGGAUUAAGAUAAAAUGGGAAGUAAAAUCUAACAAACACAAAGAUAGCUCCCAGGCACUGCUUUGUGUAGUUUGACAAGAUUGUGGUUGUAGUAGCAAAGGACUUAAAAUGAUAGUUUUUAAACCAUAUUCUGUCCCUAAGUAUUAAAAAAUCUAGGAAGUUAUUAAAAUACAAGAUUUGUUCUGCUCUGUCUCCUCUAGAAUCAGCAUCUAACUUAAAUGAAGUAUAAUCAAUGAGCUCAUAUGAAAAGGCUUCCUCUAUGGACACUUAGAUCUAUUAUAACAAUUGAAGUUACCUGGGAUUUGGGGGCGGUGGGAGGAGGACCUGCCUCCUCAGGGCAGCUAUGACUAAGACCUGGCUUUAGUAUGGAGAGAGACCUAGAAGUUGAAUUUUAUACCCAAAAUUGAUGUGGCUGAAGAGGAACUGAUUCUUGGUAACCAUCUCUUAAGAAUCCAGUAUUGAGACCAGUUCAGUAGAAGAAACAAACAUUUCUGCCUUGCAGACCAAAAAGUUAUUAGUUGGGGAAUAUAUUUUUUCUCUUUGGAAAGUCUUUAAGGGGAGCAAACCAGUUUUAAUCAGAUUGCUUGGGAAGUUUGAAAUCUGUAAUCAGUUGGUCUUAAAGAAAAACCAACAACUUUAUUUUGGAAAUUUAAAGACAUGCACAAAAGAGGAACAAUAUAAUUAACCUCUAUUAACUCAUCACCAACAAGACUCAUGACCACUCUUAUGCUUCAUGAGUGAUUGUAUUUGUAUCCACUGUCCCCUAUUAUUUUUGAGCAAGUCUCAGACACACCAUUUAAUCUGUAAAUAAUUCAACAUGUAACUCUAAAAGACAAAGACCUCUUAAAUAACAGUUCAUUAGUAUAAAACAAAUUGGGUAAACUUUUGUCAGUCAUCAAACUAUAUAGCACUGGUCCAAUAGUUUAAUUUCCAUUGAGCCUUUCAAGAGCACCGACCAGUCUGCUGUUCAAGACAUCCUCUCCUCUGGAAUGUAGAGAUGAUACAUAUCAUGCUUCUUUUUGUUAAAACACUUUUUUUCCCCUUCAAACACAGUCCAGUCAUUUUUCAGUUUGGGUUGAAACAUCCUUCUUGUUUUCUUGAUCUUGAGCUUAUAAUAACCUAGUCAUACUGCUCAGCUCAGAUAUUUUUACCCCCUCUCCUUAGGCAUUCUGGUUCCUUAAAUAUAGUUAGUGUCACAGAGGAUAAUCAGCCUUAUUUCCGAGGUCUGAGAACACUUGGACCACAUUGGUUGAGCUCAGCCACCUUCUGAUUGAAGUUUUCAGAGUUGUAAGAACUGAACAUUUUUAUGGUGGAAGUUCUCUGAGCCCUCAUCCAUUCUGUUUUUAAAAAUGCAUUGCCGAUGGGCUAUGUGAAUAUGUUUUUAAACAUGUUAUGUGCAUGAAACAUAAAACACCUGAAGUUAUUAUUAUGUAUACAAUUCUGUGGGAUGGGACUUCAUUCAGGGUUAGUUUUCAAGUUUAAUUUCCUGAGGGAUUUUUUAGUUGUUUGUGAAAGAACCCCAGGUCUACUUUUGAAAUUUUGUAUUAUAAUUGUAAUGUUGCCCAUGGUUAAAAAAAAAAAAGUGUUUAGUGAUCUGUCUCCUAUUACUCCUAUCCCUCUGUUUUUCCUCUGCAGGAGCUUGCUGCUGUUAACAGUUAUUCUUCCAAGUAGUUUCUUUGUGGGGAGAUGGGAGGUGGGAGAAAAUAUAAACAUUUAUGUAUAGAUCUUUCAAAAUAUAUGACGGUAUACACAUAUCUUCUGAGUCUUGCUGUUUUUACCUGGUAAUAUUUAGAAACAUUUAUUUUGAGAUAAAGGAGACAGCACUUUUAAGUUGAACCUGUAGUUUUAAAAAGUACAUUUCAAGUAAGCCAAAGCAGAGAAGUAAAUGUAUUUUUCAUUGUUGUAUCAGAAUUUUGAAUUUACUAUUUUAAAAAUUCAAGAGUUUUGUAGCUGAUCUAUUUCCUCCCCUCAGCCAUCCCAAAUAGGUCAUUUGUCAACAGAUUUAAGAAUGUUUAGGAACAACAACUUUGGGAAACGGGAAACAAUUUGGCAUAAGUGGGUGUGCCAUAACCUCUCAUAGCCAUUCACUCUUGGAUACAUACCCUAGAGAAGCUCUUACACAUGUGUACCAGGGGAUGGAUUUAAGCAUUGCGUGUAAUAGGAAGAAAAGAAGAAAAAACCUGGGAAGACCCUAAGUGUCCACCAACAGUGCGUUGGAUAAAUACUGUGGGUAUAUUCCAACAGUGGAAUUCCACAGAAGUGAAAUUGAACUGCAGCUCUGUAUGUGAACAUGGACAAAACUCAACAACAGAAGGAUCAAAAAAAAGCAAGUCAGAAGAAUACAUCACUGGUUCCAUUUCGAUGAAAGUCAAAAACAGGCUGUCAAAUACAUGAUAAAAGGAAACGAUUAAGACAACAUUCAAUGUUAGCCGUUCUGACGGAGGGAGAGGUGAUCAUGAGGGCAGAGAGGGGUCUUCAGAGGAACUGGCGAGGGUCUGUUUCUGAAGCCCUGUGGGCAUUUUCUUUUUUAAGCUGUAUGUUUAUGUGCUUUUGUAUGUACGAUAUUUCUUAAUAAAAUUUAAAAA